UGCAGUCGAGCGGACAGAUGGGAGCUUGCUCCCUGAUGUUAGCGGCGGACGGGUGAGUAACACGUGGGUAACCUGCCUGUAAGACUGGGAUAACUCCGGGAAACCGGGGCUAAUACCGGAUGGUUGUUUGAACCGCAUGGUUCAAACAUAAAAGGUGGCUUCGGCUACCACUUACAGAUGGACCCGCGGCGCAUUAGCUAGUUGGUGAGGUAACGGCUCACCAAGGCAACGAUGCGUAGCCGACCUGAGAGGGUGAUCGGCCACACUGGGACUGAGACACGGCCCAGACUCCUACGGGAGGCAGCAGUAGGGAAUCUUCCGCAAUGGACGAAAGUCUGACGGAGCAACGCCGCGUGAGUGAUGAAGGUUUUCGGAUCGUAAAGCUCUGUUGUUAGGGAAGAACAAGUACCGUUCGAAUAGGGCGGUACCUUGACGGUACCUAACCAGAAAGCCACGGCUAACUACGUGCCAGCAGCCGCGGUAAUACGUAGGUGGCAAGCGUUGUCCGGAAUUAUUGGGCGUAAAGGGCUCGCAGGCGGUUUCUUAAGUCUGAUGUGAAAGCCCCCGGCUCAACCGGGGAGGGUCAUUGGAAACUGGGGAACUUGAGUGCAGAAGAGGAGAGUGGAAUUCCACGUGUAGCGGUGAAAUGCGUAGAGAUGUGGAGGAACACCAGUGGCGAAGGCGACUCUCUGGUCUGUAACUGACGCUGAGGAGCGAAAGCGUGGGGAGCGAACAGGAUUAGAUACCCUGGUAGUCCACGCCGUAAACGAUGAGUGCUAAGUGUUAGGGGGUUUCCGCCCCUUAGUGCUGCAGCUAACGCAUUAAGCACUCCGCCUGGGG
rnacentral:rRNA from 1 species